GGAAGUGGUCCCUUUUUCCCCUUUGCUUCCUCCAGCGGCUUCAUGUGAUCCACCGGCAAGGGAGGACACCAAUGGAAGGUGUCUGAUAAGGGACAGAUGCACACUGCAAUAUUAGAUUUCACAUGGGUGAUGACAUUCUGCCUGAUUCAUAAAAUGUGCUGGCCUACAGGGUGAACUCUGAAAAGUCACAUGGAUUGCAAUCAGGUUACCCUCUCGAGAGUCACCUAAUUAGCUCUUUACAUCAAUGAACUUCUCAAUUCACUAUUGAUGGGUUGGUCUAUACCCUGCUGUGGUUUCUCAGCAGCCCAUCAAAUUAAAAAUGUCAGCAUGUUCUCUGGAGGAUGGUGGACAAUGAAGUCAGCCCAAUCCAAGGCUAAUAGAGCAAUGGAAUGGUCCAUAGUGAAGCAAUGCUGAAAUCCCUCACAGUUUCAUAAGCACUAUUAUACAGGCAAAUCUU
rnacentral:lncRNA from 1 species